UUUUCCUUCUCUGGUUGCCGUGCGUGGUGAAAGUAAAGCGGCCGAAGGCGUGCGCCACUCGCUCGCUCCCGUGCUUUCCUACGUGCACGCAACUCUUCCGCUCGUCCGUUUUCUUUUCUCUUCUUUCGGCCGCUUCCACCGCCGCUCUUGCACCGGAAAUCGAUACACCGUUAACCUUGCCGCUUCUCCAGCAACGUGCGUCGCGAUCCAACGGAUCGAUCUCUCGCGUCCUCCGAUACAAAAUUCGAUUCCGCGCGCAGCAUUUUAAUUAUCGUUCUGGCGAUGUCGCGUUUCCAAGUGUCAUCAUCUUGUCGCGUUUCCAAGUGUCAUUAUGUUGUCGCGUUUGUCGUUCAGCGUAGAUCAAUUUGUUCUUCGCUCGAAUAGUUUGGCUGGCGGUUUAGGCUAAUUCUUUAUUCGCCUAUUUGAGUAUUUUGUUUGAGUAUCGAUGUCGCUGUGUCUGGCGUUUGCUACGCUCUCCGUAGCCGCUGUUUAUUUCUGUUUAUUUGUAUAUCGUUAAGGCAGUGGAUAAAUAAUAAAACGUUUUAUUUUUCCCUGUUUAUCGUAACUAUUUACGUCUUCGUUAAGUUCGAGUUUCCCAUUGCAUUUUCAUAAAACUCGCGCGAUAACAGAAUAAUUACGUUGAUGUAAUAGUAUAUUAAACGAUUCUUUAAUUUCUGCCAAAAGCGUGCCAUAAUUUAUUAUAAUCAACGGUAGAUAUUAAUUAAUACUAGCAUUAAUUUAAUCACGGUGUACCAUAUCUCUUGUACUAUUUUCGUAUUUAUAACAUACAGGUGCCUUAAUCGCGUUCUUUUUACUGUCGUUCCUACGUUUCCACUGAAUUUAGACGAUACGUUUCGUAAUUUCCGCGCGGUUCUCGUUCGUCGCAGCUCUCCGCUCUCGCACUUCCACGAUAACAACGAUAAACGUAACGGCCAGAACUGUUUUAUAUAUCCAUCGAUUAUAAUUCCGUUAAUUGCAUUAGAAACGUUUCCGUUUCGAGCCUCGUCCAAGUGUUGGAAUAUUCUCCGCGCGAUUGUACGAGCUCGUAUUUAUUUCUUGCAUGUGAAUUGUAAUUGGUAGCAACAAUAAUAGCGUCGCCUAUUUUACAUGCCGUCGGUGUUUCUGCUCGUCGUCGGUUAAAAAUCGAUACAUCGUUAUCACUUGAAUACUUAAUGAACGUGUAUUAUAAUUAACAAGCGCAAAAUGAUGAUCGCCGGCUGUUCGCCAACUGUUUACCGAUUGAUCGAAUGAUCGAUCUCGAUCGGGAAAAUGGCCCCCGAAUCCCAGCCACUCGAGUGGCGGUCGAGCAUUUUUGCGGCUACUUCCACUCGUGUUAUUUGGUAAUAGCAGCGGCAAGAAUACCGAUAAUAAUAAUAAUAAUAAUACUAUCGAUUGUGUUAUACCGUAGAACUGACAGCGGCGCGAAUCAAUAAACAGAAAAGAGAAUGUACGGCGUGUAAUGCAACGUUGAAUUAGCGUUUCAACGGGCAACUUUGCAGGAUGGAAAAUUAUCCGCGUCUCGGAUACGCACGCUGUUCGAUGGUGAUAAAAACGUGGCACAAAGUGGCGGAGAAGGGCUGGCCGGAAGUAAAGUUGUCGACCAGUUUCCCGUGGAAUUAAGCGUUUAUCGCGUUUCCUUAAAUCUCGUUACACGUAGCACGCGGUAAUUGUUCCUUAACGAAAUGUAAACGAGUCUCUGUCGUGUAAUUAUAUAAGUCGCCGCUUCGACUGCGAUGAUUUCCAUCCGAGGCCGGCCACAAAGCUACGAAACACGGAUUUUUUCCACAACAAGAAAGCUUGGAGUUCAACCGACGGCGAAGAGAAACCGGGUCGGUGGUGCUUUCUCCCUGCGGCAAGUCCGAACGAAAAAUCGAAUAUCCAAACGGAACGAAACGGCCGUAAAACGCGUCUAGUUCUUUGACAGCCGUCAAAGUCGGCUCCAUGGAAUACAAAACGUCACAGAGAAAAGGAAACGAACAUCGCGUACUCUGCUGUUCCUUCGCGAGCUUUUCCUUCCGCCGAUCUUCGCCGCGAUCGGCUUCCAUUGGCCAAAUUCGCUUCGUUUUGUUUUCUUCGAUUCGCUGGUUAACAAGUGUUUCGUACAAUCAGCGAUACAUCGAUAAGAUAAUAUGAUAAUAUAAUCGAUAAUAGAAUACAAUUAUCACGAUAUAACAAUAGAACAAUAAGAAUAUAAAAGCUUUAUGACCAGUACAGCUGCUUUAAUCGUCUAAUCGCUGGAGAACUUGGAAAACGAUGUCGUCGCUGGUCCGAACGGACGAACGAGGAUGAGAAACACUGCCACGGGAUUCUGUUGUUUAGUGCGAACGUGUCGGUAAAAUCGUAGAUUUUGGUCGAUCGUAAUCCGACAGUAACCUUGACCGCUUGCGUGAAUCAGGCUUAAGUCAACGAUCGACGUCAUGGCCGAGAUCUACGGAUGAUUAAUGGUCUCGAUAAAACGUCCGGACGAAUUGAACGCGGCAAAUGAUUGCCAGGCUGUGGAUUCUCAGUGAGAUGACAAGUCGAUUUGCAUUUUGUCAAAAGAGGGAAUAAUGUUAGAUGGGGAAGGAAAUUCUGUAGCUUUUUGUACCUUGGUGAACACAAUUUUCAUUUCUGAAAAAUGGCAUAUUUUGCAUGAAUAAGCGAGACGAGAUAUAAUUUCUAUGGUUCUUCUAUGGUUUUAACCUUUGAAAAUUGUCUCGGUCACUCGAGGCACAGUUUCGUUUUGACGAUCUUUGAUACUACGUUAGUAGAAUCUCACUCACCACGACGAAAUUUUAAUCAGUAGCUGAUUAAGUGAACCGUCAUUGUACGAAUGAAGGAAGAAUGACAGGUAACAAGAAAAGACGGAGAACUUCUCGAUUAGGCGUACAAAUUGCAGUUAUAUGGACUGUUCGUUCCCUCGGUGAGUUCGAACAAACGCGACUCUGCUAUCUGAACAACAAGAUUUUUGACACCGUCAACGUCAUUUUCGUCGAACUGAGACGAAAAGAAGAUGCAACGAGAAAUACGAAUUUCAUCGACAAGCUUCUUUCGUCGCGCGUGCACAGUGUACUCUUGGCUAUAUCGCAAUCAGAAUUUUCCUUCGAUCCAAUGAGAAAAAUUCCUCUUUAUCGGCUAUCAACGAUAGAGAAACCGUUAUCUUAACUGUUUCAGGAACAUACAACGUAUUGAAUUAAUCGAAAGAACGGAUUAUACCAAUGUAAAUUUCGAACAAGUUUCACAACACGUACGUCUACAGUUUAUGGUUACGUUAAAAACGCGCAUAGAUAAACGACGUUGCGUAUACGCGGGAUGGAAGGCGUAGAAGUUAGAAACUUAAAUAUCGACGAUGUUAAACGCGCUAAAGAAUUGUCAAAAAUCGUUUGAGAAGUAACGCUGUAUGGAAUAUAAAAUCUAAAACGCGCAGAAUCUCUUUCUCUGCGCCUAAUAAACGAAGAAAAUGUAACCUUUUAUUAUGAUAAUGACGGUAAUAGGAAUUCCCGAGCAAGCAGAAAGACCGAGGGAAAAUCGAUAGACGAAAGGAAGGAUAGAGAAAAAUUAUGAUUGAAAUUAUUCGUAGCUUUCGAGUGAAGUUUAUUGCACCGACGAAAUUGUUUCGUUCAUUAUACAGGAAUUCCGUUGGAAUUGCGAGUUAAUUAAUACUAAUUCGGUGCUGAUUCGCGAAAAUUCUCGCUUAAUUGUACAAAGCACUUUGGCUACUUUCGGCGCAAUGAGUUUUCCGGUUUCGCAAAAGCCGGACAACCGCGAACCCGCUGCCUGCUAAAUGAAUUUUUAUUUGGAAAAAUGUACCUCCUUCGGAUCCGCUUGGUCGCUGUUUAAAUAACGUUCCUCUCGUCGAAAUGUUGUUCGGCCAUCGGGUUGCACGCAGCGGCGCACACGACGCCGCUAUUUUCCAGUCUGAUUUCCGUUUCUGAAUAUUUCCCCGUGUUUUCCACUCGAGAAAGGCUAAUGCGCUUCCUCGAGUAAAUAUCUUCGAAUUUCGGAUUUUUCGCCUUCGUUUUUUCGUUUUAGCUUCCAGCUCGACCGUAAACUGGCGCCAGUCCGCCAGUCGAGAAAUAUAGCAGCUAGCAAAUUGGGAAUUGAAACUGCGUGAAUCUUCGUUGCCCGAUGACAAAAGAAAAUACGUGCCUUGCGCCAGCUUUUAAUUGUUUUGCUCAUCCCUGUUAACUAGAAAAUAUCCAACUAUUUUCAUCCAGUCCACCUACGUCUUUUUCCUGUCUUCUCGCUCAACAGCGUUUCGACCAACUGUUUGCCUACUUCUUCGAACACGAGGAAACGUAGAAGACGCGUCUUGCGUCUCUUUACAUUUGCCGAGUCGCGUUAGCAUAUCGACGAAAACGCGAAACAAGCAACAGCCAAGGCGAAUGGAAUGGUCGAUGCUAGCUGCAAGCAAUUGGUCACACUGUGUGUCGAUUAUUAUUGUGCCUAGCGUUGUCGAUUAGAGCAGUUUUCGGUCAAAGUCGAUCGAGUCUGGCGUGGGUGGAUGGUUGUUGGCAAAAGUUGAGACGGUGAUUUCAACCAAAUUCAGAAGAAUUACCCGCGUAGCCGGCUAUUUCGCGAGAUACAUAUGAGACAGUUGCGUGAGAACCUCGAUGCGACAAGCAAACUCGCUAGAACUGACAAAGAAGAAGCUGCAGAUCGGACAUUCUCACCACUUUAAGGUGAGACCGGUUGCAUCGUGUGUGUUCGUUCGUUCGAGACGAGAGUUCUUUAUUUUCAGUCUUUAGAUAUGCACAAGUACGAUGAUCGGGUUGACAGCGGAUUCUCCUUUGCAUUUAAAACUCACUACCAACAACCUAUGCUUUGUAUUACGUAGCGUACGUAGUAACCUAAUCUCUAACUUCUGCAUACCUGGGUGUCUCACGGGUACCCUGCUACUUGAGUAUCACACAUGUACAGUCGAAGUCCACAUUAAAAUCCAUUAAAUUGAAUAUUAAUUGAUAUCAAGCGUAUUAAAGUGCACUAAAUUUGUAUCAUUUAACCGAUUACCAAUCUACACUUUGUACUACAUAAUGUAGUAGUCUAACUUCCGAAGUUAUCCGGGAGCCUCAGAUGAUUGUUUCACAUGUACAACGUUACCUCUACGCACUCAUUGAUUAGGUCCAAGUAUAUUAAAUAUUGUACUGUAUCGUAAUCGACCAGCAACAACGUGUGUACUUGCUAUCACAUAGCGACAGUAGCCUAAUCUGGAAUCAAAAAGUUUCAAAACUGUCGUGGAUGUUCGGAUGUAUCACGAGAUACUCUAGCAACUUUUGUACACGCGGUUGUCUCACGCAUUAUCUGGACGUCUCAGAUGAUCAGCUGUAGUUUUGGGUGGAGUCUUUACAUACUAAUUAAUUAGGUUUUAGCGUAUUAAAUGAAACAUUAAUUAGUAUCAAGCCUAUUAAAGUGCACUAAAUUUGUAUCAUUUAACCGAUUACCAAUCUACACUUUGUACUACAUAAUGUAGUAGCCUAACUUCCGAGGUUAUCCGGGUACCUUAGAUGAUUGUUUCACAUGUACAGCGUUACCUCUACGCACUCAUUGAUUAGGUCCAAGUAUAUUAAAUAUUGUACUGUAUCGUAAUCGACCAGCAACAACGUGUGUACUUGCUAUCACAUAGCGACAGUAGCCUAAUCUGGAAUCAAAAAGUUUCAAAACUGUCGUGGAUGUUCGGAUGUAUCACGAGAUACUCUAGCAACUUUUGUACACGCAGUUGUCUCACGCAUUAUCUGGACGUCUCAGAUGAUCAGCUGUAGUUUUGGGUGGAGUCUUUACAUACUAAUUAAUUAGGUUUUAGCGUAUUAAAUGAAACAUUAAUUAGUAUCAAGCCUAUUAAAGUGCACUAAAUUUGUAUCAUUUAACCGAUUACCAAUCUACACUUUGUACUACAUAAUGUAGUAGCCUAACUUCCGAGGUUAUCCGGGUAUCUCAAAUGCUCAGUUGAAUUCGUUCGCCUUAUAGCUUCUCUGGUUAGAUCUCAUGUCAGAAGUAUGGAACUCAGCAUAGAAAAAUGUAAGAUCUCUUUUAUCGAGGGAGUUCAACAGAAAUUCCUAAGAUUUCCAGCUUUCUCUAACUUGGUAUGUUUAUUGGCCAUUGAUAACUGCAAUUAUGAGCUCUUGAUGCUCCUAAUAAGCUACCGUUUGCAAAUCGAAGAAAGAUACGUGACGUUACUGUUAUUAAUCAUCAAUUUCCAUAAACCUUCCAAGAACACAAGCAGAAAUAAUAUUCUUCGUGUCAACAAUGUACGUUCAAGAUACGGCUCCUCUCACCCGUUCUUCCCUACGUAUUCCCUUAAUUAUGUCAGUUGUUAUGCUGACCGCCUCGACCCUUUUUCCUGGAAUAGGGUUGAAGCGUACCUUACGUAGCCUCGCUGUGCAGGUGAAGGUUUCGCAUUGCUUCCUUAUUUUUCAAGUUACGUUUCUGUGAUUUUCAUGCGUAUAAUUGGUGUAUAAUGUGGCCUGUGGCCUGUCAAUAGACGAUAUGAUGAUAUAUAUAUAUAGAUGUCAAUCAGCGAGUUUCUUCCGACUGCAUUGCAUUUCGUCCAUCGAAUCGAAUAUUUUGUACUUUGUGUUUUACUUUCUUUCAGCAGUUGCGAUGACGAGCUUCCCCCGUAUUCCUCUCGGAGACUCGCGGAGUCCCACCCUUCGAGAGGAGGAAAUCAAACGAUGAUGCGACGGAAUUUAUAUAUUCGUGGAUUUGCUGUAAUGCAGGGAUUGACAAGAGGAUCGUUUCACUACGUGACAUGGAACUGUGCAAGGUAAUACAGUUUGCUGGCAGGCCAGGAGUAAGAUCGUUCUCUUGUUUUGAUUAAGAAUAUUCAGUUUUAUGGAAGUUUGUUUGGACAAGUUAUAAGAAUAAGUGGUGCUGAUGAUGGAGCGUGUAUGCAUAUUUUAUCAUCCUUGAGUCACUUUACAAUGCACACAGAAUAAGAACAGACUUAUAUCAGAAUUUCAAAAUGGAAUUAUAUCACUGACUCAUCAAUUUACAUUAUAAAACAGAUAUAUGUUAUAUGUUACGUAACAAAUAUAUGUUAAAGCCU